GACGAACGCUGGCGGCGUGCUUAACACAUGCGAGUCGAACGGAAAGGCCCUGCUUUUGUGGGGUGCUCGAGUGGCGAACGGGUGAGUAACACGUGAGUAACCUGCCCUUGACUUUGGGAUAACUUCAGGAAACUGGGGCUAAUACCGGAUAGGAGCUCCUGCUGCAUGGGGGGGGUGGGAAGGUUUCGGGGGUUGGGGAUGGCCUCGCGGCUUAUCGGCUUGUUGGUGGGGUAGUGGCUUACCAAGGCUUUGACGGGUAGCCGGCCUGAGGGGGUGACCGGCCACAUGGGGACUAGGAUACGGCCCAGACUCCUACGGGAGGCAGCAGUGGGGAAUAUUGCACAAUGGGCGGAAGCCUGAUGCAGCAACGCCGCGUGCGGGAUGACGGCCUUCGGGUUGUAAACCGCUUUCGCCUGUGACGAGGCGUGAGUGACGGUAAUGGGUAAAGAAGCACCGGCUAACUACGU
rnacentral:rRNA from 1 species